rnacentral:rRNA from 1 species
AAACGACUCUCGGCAACGGAUAUCUCGGCUCUCGCAUCGAUGAAGAACGUAGCGAAAUGCGAUACUUGGUGUGAAUUGCAGAAUCCCGUGAACCAUCGAGUCUUUGAACGCAAGUUGCGCCCCAAGCCAUUAGGCCGAGGGCAUGCCUGCCUGGGUGUCAUGC